rnacentral:rRNA from 1 species
GAUCCUGGCUCAGGAUGAACGCUAGCUACGGGCUUAACACAUGCAAGUCGAGGGGCAGCAUGACGAUAGCUUGCUAUUGUUGAUGGCGACCGGCGCACGGGUGAGUAACGCGUAUCCAACCUGCCCUUGUCCAUCGGAUAACCCGUCGGAAGGCGGCCUAACACGAUAUGCAGUCCACAGAAGGCAUCUGACGCGGACGAAAUGUGAAGGAGAAGGAUGGGGAUGCGUCUGAUUAGCUUGUUGGCGGGGUAACGGCCCACCAAGGCGACGAUCAGUAGGGGUUCUGAGAGGAAGGUCCCCCACAUUGGAACUGAGACACGGUCCAAACUCCUACGGGAGGCAGCAGUGAGGAAUAUUGGUCAAUGGGCGAGAGCCUGAACCAGCCAAGUAGCGUGCAGGAUGACGGCCCUAUGGGUUGUAAACUGCUUUUAUGCGGGGAUAAAGUGAGCCACGUGUGGCUUAUUGCAGGUACCGCAUGAAUAAGGACCGGCUAAUUCCGUGCCAGCAGCCGCGGUAAUACGGAAGGUCCGGGCGUUAUCCGGAUUUAUUGGGUUUAAAGGGAGCGUAGGCCGUCUGGUAAGCGUGUUGUGAAAUGUCGGGGCUCAACCUGGGCAUUGCAGCGCGAACUGUCAGACUUGAGUGCGCGGGAAGUAGGCGGAAUUCGUCGUGUAGCGGUGAAAUGCUUAGAUAUGACGAAGAACUCCGAUUGCGAAGGCAGCCUGCUGUAGCGCAACUGACGCUGAAGCUCGAAAGCGUGGGUAUCGAACAGGAUUAGAUACCCUGGUAGUCCGCACGGUAAACGAUGGAUGCCCGCUGUUGGCCUGAAUAGGUCAGCGGCC